rnacentral:rRNA from 1 species
UACGUAGGGGGCAAGCGUUGUCCGGAUUUACUGGGCGUAAAGAGCGUGUAGGCGGCCAGGCAGGUCUGUUGUGAAAACUGGAGGCUCAACUUCCAGACGUCGACGGAAACCGUCUGGCUAGAGUCCGGAAGAGGAGAGUGGAAUUCCCAGUGUAGCGGUGAAAUGCGUAGAUACUGGGAGGAACACCAGUGGCGAAGGCGGCUACCUGGACCGGUUCUGACGCUGAUGCGCGAAAGCGUGGGUAGCAACAGG